rnacentral:lncRNA from 1 species
GGGAUAUAUUUAAAAGUGAUUUUCAAAGUAACAACCUAUAGGGUAGUGAAAAGAAAUAGGUUAAUCAUUCAUAAUAUUUAAACAAUAGUUCUUGUUUCAACAACCAAAAGAAAGUCACUAAACUUUGUUUUAAUUAAGAUAUACAGGAACAUGAUGGAAAAUUAGAAAAGCAGUGUAAGGUUUAUAUACAUAUGUUGAGUAUAUAUAUAUAUUAAAUUAAUCUUACCAAGUGGUAAAUUUAUGGCUCACGAUUACAAUCAGUUAACAGUCACAAUUUUUUAUCAUAAUAAACGACAUGCUACAAAAGACAUAAGAGAAUAUAUUCGAAUAUUUUCUUCAUAAUAAGCCAGCCUAUGGGUUGUCAAUUUACUCAACAAUGAUGAUAUAUUUUCUAAUAACUGUGGCG